rnacentral:tmRNA from 1 species
GGGGUCGAUUUGGUUUUGACAGCGAGAUUAACCAAAUGGUAAGCACGUCGAGCGCUGGGAUAUAGCUCGUAAAUAUCAUAUUUCAAACUUUUUAAACGGCGAUAAUAACUACGCCCUAGCUGCAUAAUCCGAAUUAUAGUAGGAUUACGCCUCGGUCUACAAGGUAGACAAGCAGGAAGUCACUCAAACACCUUGGUUUGCGGUUUUUGAUAUAGUGACUUCGUAAAAGUAAACCUAGUUUUUGUAGGGUCUUGAUACGAAAGCGAAAAUUCAUUGAGAAUAAGGUAAUCCUUGGUAGUUUCUGACCGGUGGUUGCACGAAAACUAAUUAGAAACUAAGCGUGUAGAAAGCUAUUUCGUUACUUGUUUGGACGGCGGUUCGAGUCCGCCCGACUCCACAA